rnacentral:rRNA from 1 species
GACGAACGCUGGCGGCGUGCUUAACACAUGCAAGUCGAGCGGUAAGGCCCUUUCGGGGGUACACGAGCGGCGAACGGGUGAGUAACACGUGGGUGACCUGCCCUCAGCUCUGGGAUAAGCCUGGGAAACCGGGUCUAAUACCGGAUAUGACUCCAUGACGCAUGUUGUGGGGUGGAAAGCCUUGUGCGGCUGAGGAUGGGCCCGCGGCCUAUCAGCUUGUUGGUGGGGUGAUGGCCUACCAAGGCGACGACGGGUAGCCGGCCUGAGAGGGCGACCGGCCACACUGGGACUGAGACACGGCCCAGACUCCUACGGGAGGCAGCAGUGGGGAAUCUUGCGCAAUGGGCGAAAGCCUGAUCCAGCGAUGCCGCGUGUGUGAAGAAGGCCUGCGGGUUGU